rnacentral:misc_RNA from 1 species
GAUUUGAUGAUAUAGAGCUUAAUCUGAAUGCAGACAAUUAUUUCUUCAAUGCAAAAUAUAUUUUAAAAAUCUUGCCUCCAUUUGUUUACAUAUGAUAAUGAACAAAAAUAAUAACCAACAGAUUUGACACAUCUCACACAAUUCAUUGACCCUCAGCAUCCAGCCCUUCAUCAGCCGUGAGUGUGGCACAUUAUGUCAUUCUUUGUCGUAUAUGGUCAUCAAUAAUUUAAUAAUAAUUGAUCUCAGGCUCCCUCUCUGGAAUCGAACCCUG